rnacentral:misc_RNA from 1 species
UCUGUCAAGCACUCCUGG